CGACUGUCGCUAGCUGUAUGCAGUCACGCUUCGUAUGCAUCGACUGCCUCUGCUCGUCUGUUGUUCGCGGACUUAUAUGCUGUUCCAAGAAUAGCCCAGCAGUUUCAUGGUCAAACCUUAUCUCGUGGAAACGCGGGCACGGGUCGAUUAAACUCAGCUAUGGUUGAGUUGGAUCGUCCCGUUAAACUGAAUAACUGUAAUAACUCAAGAGUAAUACAUGCCUGAAGGCCCUGACUCUUCGUUGUUCUCAGCGGAGGGAAUGGGUGCCACUAUUAGAUCAGAAGCCAACCGUGUGGGGUCGUCAUGGCCUUGCAUGUCGUCCCUUCUGGUGACUCUGGAUAAUUGUUACAGAUCGCAGUCCGGCCUUGAGUCGGCGACCGGGUCCUUCAAAUGUCUGCCCUAUCCAACUUUCGAUGGUAGGUGACCUGCCUACCAUGGUGAUAACGGGUAACGGGGAAUCAGGGUUCGAUUUCCGGAGAGGGAGCCUGAGAAACGGCUACCACUUCCAAGGAAGGCAGCAGGCGCGCAAAUUACCCACUCCCGGUACGGGGAGGUGGUGACGAAAAAUACCGAUGCGGGACUCCUAAAAGAGGCUCCGUAAUCGGAAUGAGUGAACUUUAAAUCCUUUAACGAGGAUCAAUUGGAGGGCAAGUCUGGUGCCAGCAGCCGCGGUAACUCCAGCUCCAAUAGCGUAUAUUAAAGUUGCUGCAGUUAAAAAGCUUGUAGUUGGAUCUCGGUGCAUCACUGUUGCCUGUUAGUAAUUGGUGCAGUGUUAACGGCAGUUCGUGCAUGGGUUUCCUGUGUUGCGGAUUGUCGGCUGUGUCAAGCUAGCAGUGUGGCGGUGUCACCUUUCAGCCAUGUCUGUGGUGAAAUACCCGCAGGUGUAGGCGAGUGUCAGGCGGUGCAUGGCAUACGCUGUGUCCGUCGGCUCGCUUGCAUGCCUUUGGAUGCCUUUAACCGGGUGUCUUUGGGCGGAUGGCACGUUUACUUUGAACAAAUUUGAGUGCUCAAACCAGGCCGAUGUUGCCUGAAAACUUUUGCAUGGAAUAAUGGAAUAGGACUCCGUUUCUAUUUCGUUGGUUUUUGGCUCCGAAGUAAUGAUCAAUAGCGACAGGCGGCGACGGUUUGUACUGCGACGCCAGAGGUGAAAUUCUAUGGACCGUCAGCCAGACCACUAAAGCGAAGAGCAGUUCGUUCAAGG
rnacentral:rRNA from 1 species